AACGAACGCUGGCGGCAUGCCUAACACAUGCAAGUCGAACGAAACCUUCGGGUCUAGUGUCGCACGGGUGCGUAACGCGUGGGAACCUGCCCUUAGGUUCGGACUACCUCCCCGAAAGGGGUGCUAAUACCGGAUAAUGUCUUCUGACCAAGGAUUUAUCGCCUUUGGAUGGUCCCGCGUUGGAUUAGCUAGUUGGUAGGGUAAAAGCUUACCAAGGCGACGAUCCAUAGCUGGUCUGAGAGGAUGCUCAGCCACACUGGGACUGAGACACGGCCCAGAAUCCUACGGGAGGGAGGAGAGGGGAACAGAGGAAAAUGGGCGAAAGGCUGAGCCAGCAAGGACGGGUGAGUGAUGAAGGCCGUAGGGUUGUAAAGCGCUUGUAACCGGGAUGAUAAUGACAGUACCGGGAGAAUAAGCGCCGGCUAACUACGUG
rnacentral:rRNA from 1 species